rnacentral:rRNA from 1 species
CAGCUCUCCGAGUGGUAGGGAUGAUUAUUGGGCUUAAAGCGUCCGUAGCCGGCUUAGCAAGUUUCCUAUUAAACCCAGCGACUCAAUCGUUGGAUCGCGGGAAAUACUACUAGGCUAGGAGGCGGGAGAGGUCAACGGUACUUCUGGGGUAGGGGUGAAAUCCUAUAAUCCCGGGAGGACCACCAGUGGCGAAGGCUGUUGACUAGAACGCGCUCGACGGUGAGGGACGAAAGCUGGGGGAGCGAACCGGAUUAGAUACCCGAGUAGUCC